rnacentral:lncRNA from 1 species
UUGACAGAAACUAGAAUCCCCUAGGAGACUGGCUCUGGGAAAGUUUGUGGCAUUAUCUUUUUUUUUAAUUAUUUUUAUUUUAUUUAAUUUUAUUAGAUAUUUUCUUUAUUUACAUUUCAAAUGCUAUCUCAAAAGUUCCCUAUACCCCCCCCAUCCCUGCUCCCUUACCCACCCACUCCCAGUUCUUGGCCCUGGCAUUCCCCAUUACUGGAGCAUAUAAAGUUUGCAAGUCCUAGGGGCUUCUCCUCCCAAUGAUGGCCGACUAGGCCAUCUUCUGCUACAUAUGCAACUAGAGAUAUGAGCUCUGGGGGUACUGGUUAGUUCAUAUUGUUGUUCCACCUAUAGGGUUGUAGACCCCUUCAGCUCCUUGGGUACUUUCUUUAGCUCCUCCACUGGGGGCCCUGUGUUCCAUCCUAUAGAUGACUGUGAGCAUCCACUUCUGUAUUUGCCAGGCACUGGUAUAGCCUCACACAAGACAGCUAUGAUUUAUUAACUGAGGUAAGAUGAGCUUCCCACUUGGUUGGUACCACUCCCUGUAUGGAAUUCUGGACUGUGUAAAAUAGAGAAUGAUCUUAAUACUGUCAUGUAUGUAUCAUUUUCUGUUUCCUGAUGAUGGGUAUGAUGUGACCUGCUACUUCAAAUGCUUAUCAUCUGUGAUGUACUGGACAGUUGAACUGUGAAGAAGAAUAAAUUAUUUCUUUCUUAAUUCACUUAUUUCAGUGUGUUUUGUAAAGAUAGAAAUGGCCCCUAAGAAGCCAGUUACAAUUCAUAAUCAUACAAGGCAAAGAGCUUGAAUGCUGUUGACCAAUGCAUUAGCUCUAUAAGACGGCAGAAGUUAGUGAUGGAAACUCAAAAGAGCAUCCUUUGGGAUUUACCUGACAAAGAAUGCACGGUGGUCACUGCAUUCACAUCAGAGUCCACCAUGGAGCCACAGCUGGAUUCUGUCAAGGUCUUUUGGACAGUCACAGGUGCAAUACUGGCAUGGCGGAGGGCUGCCUUCAAUGGUGCUAUGUGAUUGUAUUGGACUGAAGAAAGGCAUCCAACAAAACCCAAGGUGUUCGCUCGAGCAACUUCUGGAUCCAAAUCAAGAGUUUCUGCAAAGAAUAAAAAGAAACACAGGUCUUAGUUUUUCCAAACUGUCUAUGUGUUUUUCUUGACUAUUAACCAAAAUAGCUGAAACACAAAAUAGUUAAUUUUUGAAUAUGGAAACUUCUUAAUAUCUGUCUUCCUUUUCUUCUCAACUACAUAUUUGCAGGUGUCAAUACAUCAUUCAACUAUAUCUCAUAGAAACAAUCUAUGACUAUCUCUGCUUUAAAACAAAAAUAUUUCAAGCUAAAAAUUUUUCAUUUGUGUAGUUCAUAAAUUGUAGAAAGAGUAAUAGUAUAGCUCUAUCAUACUCUAACCAAAGUCUAGAUAUUUGAAAAAAUUUAUGUCUCUCUUCCCAUCAUGAUUUAUCUAUGGAUGCAGGCGAUUAACACAAGAAUCACAAUGUUCAUCAUAACAUUUAAUUCACAAUUAUAAGAAGGGAAAUGAUAAUAAAGAAAUAAUGGGAUUAGGAAUGAAAGCAGAGAUGUAUCAUGUUUGUGGACUCAAGGCCCCUGAGUGAAUAAAUAUUUCUUCCUGCAUCACCUGUCUUCAUUGUAUUGAUUGGACACUAACUGGGGAGAUGUUUUAUAUACAUGAACUUAUCAAAAUUCCUAGGGUAUUUUUGAGUAUUUAUAAGAGACAGUAAUGCCCUCUUCCCUUGCCAAGCUCUCAUUUUCCUGGCCAAAGUUCUGUCUGACUCCAUGGACACCUGCUGCUACCAUUGACAACUAGGCGAUUUCUCCAAGUCCCACACUCCUGCCUGCUGGCUUCCCUGCAAGCCCAGCAGCCUUGAAGCCUUGAGGACUGCCCUGUCCUGAUUUGUGCUAAAUCUUCUUGUCUGAACCUAUAACAAUAAUCCCAGAUAUCUGCAGCCAUCACAAACCAACACUUGAGAUGUUUACCCCAAAUUGCUGCGUGUCAGCCCCUCUGAGCAAACCAAAUAGCAGCGAACUCCAACCUGCCCCUUCUGUACUCCAUUUCUCUGGGCACAGUUCUGCCUGAAUUCCUGGAAGACUACUGCUGCCUGGGACAACCAGGUGAGUUCCUCAAGCCCCAAACUUCAUCUCAUCUUCUGGUCAACACCUCUAACCACAAUCCCAGACACUUACAGCAAUGAGUAACCACCAGGUCUGACCCUCUUCCCCAAUUUCCUGCCUGCCAAUCCCCCUUGACAAACCCAGGAGCAGUAAGUUCUACCCUGACCCCUCGAACUCUAUUUCCCAGGCCACAAGUCCCUCUACAUCCCUGGAGUCCUGUAGCUGCCCAGGACAAACAAGUACCUGCAACUUUCAGGGUCUACCACCUUUAUGUGAACCUCUAGAAGCCUGUUCCCCACCCUGAACAACCAGCAGCCUAAAGCAAUCAGCAUCUACAAGCACUGCCUAUAUCCCUAUAAGCCUGCAUUCACCAGGGACUACCACCUCCUUCUACAAUACUAAAGGCUUGCUGACAUCAGGGACUACCAGCUCUACCUGCAGCACCAGAGACCUACUCACACCAAGGACUACCAGGCCUAACAAAACUAGGGGCAUGCAGAUGGUUAAAGGCCAGCAUAAAAACACUGUCGCCAAAAGCCAGGGCUAUGUGAUACUAUCAGAGAACCCAACUAUCCUACUACACCAAGUCCUGAAUAUUCUAACACACAUGAAUCCCCCUCAAAAUAACCUAAAAUCUAAUCUUAUGAAGAUUAUAGAGCCCACUAAAGAGGAAAUAAAUAAAUCUCUUAAAAAAUACGGAAAAUACAAUCAGGUGGAGUCAGUUAAAGGAGAUACAAAUAAAUAAAAAAGGAACACAGGAGAAUGAAAUAAAACAGGUGAAAUAAAUAAAUACAGAUUUUCAAGACCUGAAAAUAGAAGCAAUAAAGAAAACACAAACUGAGCAAAUCUUGGAUAGGAAGAACCUAGGAAAGAGAACAUGAACUACAGAUACAGGCAUCACAUAAUGAAUACCAGACUCGGGCAUUGAAGAUACCAUAGAAGAAGCUGAACAAUUGGUCAAAGAACAUGCUAAAGCUAAGUUUCUAACACAAAACAUCUAGGAAAUUUGGAAUACUACGAAAAGACCAUAAGAAUAAUAGGAUAGAUGAAGAGAAGAGUCCCAACUCAAAAACCCAGAAAAUAUCUUCAAUAAAUCAUAAAAGAAAAUUUCCCUAAUCUAAAGAAAGAGACCCAUAUACAUGUACAGGAAACUGACCAAACACCAGAUAGACUGGAUCAAAAAAGAAAAGAAAAGAAAAGAAAAGAAAAGAAAAGUUUCCCUGCACUUAAUAAUCAAAAUAUUAAAUGUAUAGAACUAGGAAAAACUAUUAAACAACUCUGAGGGUUGACCUUACACUCAGCAGAAUGGUUAAGAUAAAAAACUCAAAGAACACCAAAUGCUGGUGAGGUUGUGUACACUUCUCAGCUGGUAUUUGGAGUGGCAAAUUGUAAACUCGCUCUGGAAAUCAAUUUGAUGGUUUCACAAAAUAUUGGUAAUAGUUCUACCUCAAGACUCAGCUAUAUCACUCCUGAGAAAAUAGCCAAAAGAUGCUUCACUAUCCCCCAAGGACUCUUGCUCAACUAAGUCAAUAGCAGUUCUAUUUGUAAUAGCCAGAAACUGG